rnacentral:rRNA from 1 species
AUGCUAUUUUGGUGGCGUGUUUGGCUUCAUAGAAAUGAUGCGAUCUUUGCGGAAGGUAAAGCAAAAAUCUCCCACUCUACUCGGUUUUUGCAAAACUACCUUGCAAGCAUCUGUUUGAUCGAGAACGGAAAUUCCAAGAUUGAUCGUAAAGGGAAAAGCCGUAUGAUCAAAUUGGCAAAAUUGAAAGAACAUGAUAAUACAAAGGAAAAAGCUUGGCAAAAGCCUGACCACGGGUGGGCCAAGGUCAAUGUGGAUGGAAGUUUUUUGCAGGAGAAUAACAGCGGAGCAUGGGGAGCUGUGGUUCGAGAGCAUGAUGGGAGAAUUAUCUUGUCGGCCUGGGACUACAUUCCGUGA